ensembl:snRNA U2 U2 spliceosomal RNA
AUCAUUUCUUGGCCUUUUGGCUAAGAUCAAGUGUAUUAUUAUUAUAGAAUAUGUUCUCAGAUAAAGAAAAAACUGAGAGUUUUCUCAGAUUUUUCAGACUUUUA